AGAGUAGAGAUCGAGCCAAGAAUGACUUGUCGGCAGGCUAGCAAUUGCUACGUAUAGAGCAAUAUGUAUGCUAGAAUGAGUAUUCCGCCAGGUCGUUCUUGGCUCAACUUUGCUCUUC
rnacentral:pre_miRNA from 13 species